GGGAUCGGGGAAAAGGAAAAAAUUGUGAGAAACUAAACAGACGUCACCUUUUUCAUAUUUUUGAGCUUGACUGGAAUCAAGAUUUCACAUGGCACCUCGAGGACAGGAUUAUUAAUAGCCUUUGUGUCAGCCUGAUGGUAAAGCUUUCUCUUUGAAUCCUUUGUAUAGUUGCUUUUCCUUCAGAAAGACCAUCCCAUUUACUCAUCAUGUGGCUUUCCUGAUGGGGGUUCUGUGAGAGUGCUGAGCCCGGAUGCCCAAGGCUUCCACUGCGUGUAAUGAAUUAGCUCCCACUACCACACAGCUAUCCUGGAACUAGCUAAGAACCACCCAUGGGAGAACUGGGAGAAUCGUCAUUUGAAUCAUUUCCUGUGUUCUGUGGUUCAGGUGAAGGAUGCAAGAUGAGAAAGAUGAAAUCCUCUAAUAUGGAAAACAGAUUAGCAGUAGGCAGGGAAUGGCAACCAGAGGUAGAAGAUUUUAAAAAUUAAGGGAAAGGUUUGGUGCAGGGAGGCAAGGUGAGAUCAUGGGCUUUGUAUCAACCCAGCUAUGCUACUUACUGUCUACGCCACAUGAGAAAGUGACUUAGCUUCUAUAAAUCUGAACUUCUUCAUCUGUGAAAUAGAAAUAAUGUAGCCUACUUCCUAAUAUCUGUGUAAAGAUUAAACAGGAUAACAUAUAAG
rnacentral:lncRNA from 1 species